CUUCAGUAAAAUUAUAAUAUCACUGGUAAUACAUGCAGAGAUUAGCUGACUUCCACGAUCUUUGGAGUGGAGUUCCAUCAAGCUACUUCAGUUUAUAAGUUUCGAGAUGUACUAUCUCAUCCACUUGAUAAAGAUCUUUCCAAUUAGGUGCUAGCUUUCCCCGCUCUAUAGGCUGUGAGACCUCAGAACACUGCAGCACCA
rnacentral:lncRNA from 1 species